AACUGUCUUGUGAAAAAGCCUAAAUUUAGUUUUGGUUUUCUGCAUGUCUUAUUUAGAGUUCAGUGUCUCCUCCAUCAAAAAGUAAUAUAUAAAUGAGUAACAAACAGGGUCCUUUUGUGGUUUUCCAAAUUCAUUAAAGGGAAUACUUUUUUUCUUUAAAGAAAAUAGUCUUCUAAUGGAUGGAAAAAACUAAACAGGUGAGUCGAUGGAUGGCUGAAUGCAUGGAUGAUGGAUCAAUUAAUGAACAGCAUGUGACCUUGGAUAAAAGGUAUUGACAGGCAGUGCUGAAACUGUGGUAUCAGUAGAAAACCCAA
rnacentral:lncRNA from 1 species